GGGGGUAAAUUAAUAAAAAUAAAUUUAAUAAAAAAAUUUUUAAUAUUGGGGGGUAUUAAAGUAUUUUUUAAAGAAAAAAUAAAAAAAUUUAUAGUAAAUUAAUAUUGUAAAAGAAAUUUGAAAUAAUAUUGAAAAUUCAUUAAAAAAAAAGUAAAUUUAAUUUAUUGUAUCUUGUGUAUCAGAGUUUAUUUAUAAAUAUUUAAUAGAUAAUAAAAUCUCGAAUUUAAAAGAGUUAAUUAAUUAUAAAAGUUAAUGUUGAAUAAUUAUUUUAAAUAAUUAAUUAGAAAUGAAAUGUUAAUCGUUUUUAAAUAUAUCUAGUUUUUUUAGAAAAAAAUUUAAUUUUAAAUUUGAAAAAUUUUAUAUUUAAUUAAUUAAAUAUAAAAUUUCAAAAUUAAAUAUUUUAGGGGAUAAGCUUUAAUUUAGAUAUUUAUAAUAUAAUUAAUUAUUAAUAAAAUUUUUAAGAUUUAUAUUGUUUAAAAAUUAUAAUUUAUUAAAAAAAAUUUUAUAAUAAAUAAAAUUUAAUUAAUAUAUUUAAUUUUUUAUAAAAAAAUAUUUUUUAAUAGUUAAAAAAUAGAAAUAAUGAUAAAAUUAGUAUAUUAAAUUAAAUAAAAAUAUAAAUAUUUAAAUUGAAAUUAAUUUAAAGGAAUUCGGCAAAAAAUUAUAUUCACUUGUUUAUCAAAAACAUGUCUUUUAGAUAAUAAUUUAAAGUCUAAUCUGCCCACUGAUUAUAAAAAAUUAAAGGGCUGCAGUAUAUUGACUGUACAAAGGUAGCAUAAUCAUUAGUCUUUUAAUUGAAGACUUGUAUGAAAGAUUUGAUGAAAUAUAAACUGUCUCUAAUUUAAUAAUAAAAAUUAAUUUUUUAGUUAAAAAGCUAAAAUUUAUUUAAAAGACGAGAAGACCCUAUAGAGUUUUAUAAUAAUAGUAAUUAAAAUUAAAUAUAUAAUUAUAAAUUAAAAUUUUUAUUAUUAUUUUGUUGGGGUGACAGAAAAAUUAAUAAAACUUUUUUUAUAAUAUUACAUAAAUAAGUGAAUUAAUGAUCCCUUUAUAAUGAUUAAAAGAAAAAAUUCCCUUAGGGAUAACAGCGUAAUUUUUUUUUUUAGUACAAAUAAAAAAAAAAGGUUGCGACCUCGAUGUUGGAUUAAGAUAAAAAUUAAAUGCAAAAGUUUAAAAUUUUGAUCUGUUCGAUCAUUAAAAUCUUACAUGAUCUGAGUUCAAACCGGUGUAAGCCAGGUUGGUUUCUAUCUUUAAAAAAUUAAAAUAUUUUA
rnacentral:rRNA from 1 species